AGGGAAUUUUCCGCAAUGGGCGAAAGCCUGACGGAGCAACGCCGCGUGAGUGAAGACGGCCUUCGGGUUGUAAAACUCUGUUCUUGGGGAAGAAGAAAGUGACGGUACCCAAGGAGAAAGCCCCGGCUAACUACGUGCCAGCAGCCGCGGUAAUACGUAGGGGGCGAGCGUUAUCCGGAUUUAUUGGGCGUAAAGCGCGCGCAGGCGGUCAGGUAAGUCGGAUAUGAAAGGCUACGGCUCAACCGUAGAGCGGCAUCCGAAACUGCUUGACUUGAGUGCAGGAGAGGAGAGUGGAAUUCCCGGUGUAGCGGUGGAAUGCGUAGAGAUCGGGAGGAACACCAGUGGCGAAGGCGACUCUCUGGACUGUAACUGACGCUGAGGCGCGAAAGCGUGGGGAGCAAAC
rnacentral:rRNA from 1 species